UACAGAGGUCCCGAGCGUUGUUCGGAUUCACUGGGCGUAAAGGGUGCGUAGGUGGUCGGGUAAGUCUGAUGUGAAAUCUCCAAGCUCAACUUGGAAACUGCAUCGGAUACUAUUCGGCUCGAGGGUUGGAGGGGGGACUGGAAUGCUUGGUGUAGCAGUGAAAUGCGUAGAUAUCAAGCGGAACACCAGUGGCGAAGGCGAGUCCCUGGACAACUCCUGACACUGAGGCACGAAAGCUAGGGGAGCAAACAGG
rnacentral:rRNA from 1 species